GGUUGCUCUGCUUCGAGUCCGACUCCGAACAUUUGAUUGUAGAGAUGGUAAGUAGGCCAAUCAAAUCCCUUGGGAAAUAUUGUAAUUUAUUAUUUUCAUUCUUGUGAAACAAUAUCUUUGUCACUUUUUUUCAGCAUCAAGAUAUAUAUGACCAAGCUUCAGUACACUGUCCCUCAGCUGGAACUGGGAGUGGGGGGAGUGCGGGUACCAUGCAUUUUACCCGCGCAAAGGCACGGGGAGGAAAUACCAAGGGGAAAGAAGAAGACGUUUCCAUACACAAAAAAAGUGUUAAUAGGAUGGACAAUCUCAAACCUGUCAAACAACAUAUUCUCUGGGAAAAGAAGGCUGAGAUGCUCCAGUCUCGGGUGAAUGAGCUGGAGGAGGAAAAUGACUUCCUCAAGAGGCAGCUUGAAGAGAAGUCUGCACAAGAACAAGGUUUGUACAGGUAUGGACUUGGAGAUAAUGGACACUGGAGGUGGGGAGCCACAGGCCAUGACUUUGGACUCCAGCACUGACACUACCACUGAUUCCAGCACUGACUCCAGCUCUAGCUCUAUCUCUGACUCUUCAGAUGAAGAAAAGAAGAAAAAGAAGCGUAAAAAGAAGAAUGGCAAGAAGAAAAGCAAAAAAAGAAAGAAGGACAACAAAAUGGUGAAGAGGUCAAACGGAAAAGGAGAGCGAGUUGCCUCAAUCGCAGAUGUGGUGAAAAGAUAUCAGCGUGUCCUCAAACUUGUGCAAAGAGGCUUCAGGAUGACCGCAGCUUUCAAGAAAGCUUGCGUUUCUAGAAAUGCUGUGAAAGACACCGCAGCAAUUGCAGAGAUUUACAUGGUAGACAAAAGUGUCCUAGAACAGUUCAAGGGUAAAUACACACUUUUGCAACUAGCACAACUCUGUCAGAAAAAAAUUGUUGGUGAACUGGCAGAAAAGAUAAUUGAAAUGAAAAACAACAAACAGCUCAUCCCCUUUUCUGUCAAGAAACACUUAAUGAGUUAAGUAGGUUGUUAACUAAUGCAACUUUGUUUGUUUUUGUUUUUGUGGUUGUACUCUUUAUAACUUGAGCACCAAGCUAGACCAACUAGGGCAGUGCAGCAUUUUUUUUCAAGUAUUGAGCGUGUUUUCUCGUUUUGCUCAAUAUAUAACGUUUGUCACAUAAUCUGAUGGUUCAGAUGUGAUCCUGAUACCCUAGUAAAUAAUGGGUUGUAUUAUUUGGAGUGUUUUUGUAUUUAAUAAAGGUGCACUUUUUUCUCUGAUGUGCUGCCUAUGGUGUUUGUUCUACUUCAGUCAGGUAUGCAAAACAUGUUUUAAAUGGUAAUUAUGUUGCAUACAAUUAAUGGAAACCUGUAUGCAAUCUGUUGAUAGGUUAUAGACUUUCUACUGAUAUCAACUGUUUUUCACUUUAAUUAGAUAGUCCUAAAAUAUAUCUACUAACGCUUAGUGGAGAAUGUCUAUUAAUAGUCUACUGAUCAUAAACAAUAUAUUUGUUGACAAACAACAGAUAAGCAACUAAUCUUCAGUUGACUAUCAACAGAUUAUCAACAAAUGGUAAAUACAGAAAUGUGAUGCAUUUGACACCCCUUGGGUAGGAUAUACAGUAUCAUAUACUGAC
rnacentral:lncRNA from 1 species